GCUCCGGUGGCCAAGUUGGAUAAGGCAUGUGGCUUAUGUGAUUCAGUAGCCAGGCGCCAGCACGCCCGCUACGAGUUCAUGAUGAGGUUUCAAAUCGCAGAAAAGAUUGCUUUUCUAAAAAAUUUAUAAAACCGCGAGAUCGUGGGUUCGAGUCCCACCCGGAGCA
rnacentral:tRNA from 1 species